rnacentral:rRNA from 1 species
GACGAACGCUGGCGGCGUGCUUAACACAUGCAAGUCGAACGGAAAGGCCCUGCUUUUGUGGGGUGCUCGAGUGGCGAACGGGUGAGUAACACGUGAGUAACCUGCCCUUGACUUUGGGAUAACUUCAGGAAACUGGGGCUAAUACCGGAUAGGAUCUCCUGCUGCAUGGUGGGGGUUGGAAAGUUUCGGCGGUUGGGGCUGGACUCGCGGCUUAUCAGCUUGUUGGUGGGGUAGUGGCUUACCAAGGCUUUGACGGGUAGCCGGCCUGAGAGGGUGACCGGCCACAUUGGGACUGAGAUACGGCCCAGACUCCUACGGGAGGCAGCAGUGGGGAAUAUUGCACAAUGGGCGGAAGCCUGAUGCAGCAACGCCGCGUGCGGGAUGACGGCCUUCGGGUUGUAAACCGCUUUCGACUGUGACGAAGCGUGAGUGACGGUAAUGGGUAAAGAAGCACCGGCUAACUACGUG